UACGUAGGGGGCAAGCGUUGUCCGGAAUUACUGGGCGUAAAGGGCGCGUAGGCGGCCCUCUAAGUCGAACGUGAAAUCCCUGGGCUCAACCCAGGAACUGCGUCCGAGACUGGGGGGCUAGAAUCCGGGAGAGGGAUGUGGAAUUCCAGGUGUAGCGGUGAAAUGCGUAGAUAUCUGGAGGAACAUCGGUGGCGAAGGCGGCAUCCUGGACCGGUAUUGACGCUGAGGCGCGAAAGCCAGGGGAGCAAACGGG
rnacentral:rRNA from 1 species